rnacentral:lncRNA from 1 species
UUUUUUUUCUUUUUACAGCCACACUUGUGGCAUAUGGAGGUUCCCGGGCCAGGGGUUAAUCAGAGUUGCACCCAAGGCUUAUGCAACAGCCACAAUAACACCAGAUCUGAGCCAUAUCUGUGACCUACACCACAGCUUGCAGCAACACCUGAUCUUUAACCCACCGAGCAAGGCCAGGAAUCAAACCCACAUCCUGAUGGACACUAUGUCAGUUCUUAACCUGCUAAGCCAAAACAGGAACUCCCAGAUUCUUGACCCAUAGAAACCACAAUACAAUAAAUGUUGUUUUAGCCACUAAGUUUUGGGAAAUUUGUUAUGCAGCCAUAGACAACAAAUUGAGUCAACUGAUUUCUCAACCUGCUGAUGAGUAAUGACAUGUAAACUGAAAAACAUUGAUCUAGUUCUAGAUGCAAGUCCUGUGCUGGGCCUCAAAACAGAUUCGAGGAUGAAUAAGACCUGGUCAUUGCCUUCAAAGGGCUUUUAGUGUUUUGGGGGGAAUCUCGAAACUUAGUAGGAUGUGUGUAUUUCUAGGGCAGAGUUCAAAGACAGCAGAAGUAAAUGAGAGCUUUGUCCAGGCUGAGACGGACCGCUGUGAGAAGCACAGAAAUUGGUUGGGGAGUCCUUACAGGGAGCAUCCAAAGGGAUUUCCACACCCAGAAAGGCUUGGAAGAGAGAGGAGGAUCCUUCUCGCUCAUGCUUUCAAUCAGGGCUUCUGACCUACGAGACUGCAGCCUUGACCUUCAGCCCUGGUCUCUCUCUGGAUCUACUGACCCCUACUUCCAAGACUUGGUUGGACAGCUCCAAAUGGACGUCUCCUUAACAUCCUUCCCAACAUAUCCUAAAUCCUCCUCUUCUUUAUUCCCCGAGACCAGCAAGUCCUCCUGGUACCUUAAUCCUAUCUAGUCCCCAACACUUGUCACCAUUCACAUUCAUUUUUUUUCAGUUCCAUCCCCACAUCAAUUUCCAAGUGCUGCAGAGUCUAUCUCUGAAGUAUCUCUCUCUCUCUCUCUUUUAUUUAUUUAUUUUUUUUAAGGGCCACUCCUGAGGCAUAUGGAAAUUCCCAGGCUAGGGGUCUAAUUGGAGCUACAGCUGCCAGCCUACGUACACCACAGCCACAACAAUGAAGGAUCUGAGCUGCAUCUGUAACCUAUACCACAGCUCACAGCAAUGCCAGAUCCUUAACCCACUGAGCAAGGCCAGGGAUUGAACCUGCAACCUCAUGGUUCCUAGGUGGAUUGGUUUCCUCUGUACCACGUCAGAAACUCCUCCGAAGUAUCUCUUGAAUCUGUCCCUUUUCUGCAUCCUCUAUAACUACCUUAAAGCUGGCCCUUGUCUUCGUAACAAAGACCCCCAAAAGCAUUGUUGCACGGGUCCUUCCAUAGUGUAGUGGUUAUAUGUGCAGGAUACGGAGUUAGGCUACCUGAUUGAGUUCUAAUUCUACCACUUAGCAGCUAUGUGAACUUUGACAAGCUCUUUAAUUUUUUCCACGCCUUGGUUUCCUCAUCUUUAAAAUAGGGUGACUAAUACGUGUGUGUGUGUGUGUGUGUGUGUGUGUGUAAAGAAUGAAUAGAGUGCUUGGCAGUAAAAGUGACAUUUUAGGGUAUAAACCACCACUGUGAUUAUUUUGAAUCAUCCCAUGCUCUGUUCCUUCCUCCCAGAGUGUUCCCCAAACACAUCAACGCCAGAUCUGAGCUGUGUCCGUGACCUACACCACAGCUCAUGACAACACUGGAUUUUUAACCCACUGAGUGGGGCCAGGAAUCGAACCUGCAUCCCAUGGAUGCUAGUCAGAUUCAUUUCUGUUGAGCCAGGACACGAACUCCUUACCGUUUAUUUUUAAGGUUACUUUCUAUCUAUGGCAAAUUAUACUAUUUUUCAUGAUCAGUAAUGAUACAAAGUUUCCUUUUAAAAUAAAUAUUUAAAAAACCUAAAGUAUAGUUGAUUUACAAUGUUGUGUUAGUUUCAGGUGCACAGCAAAGAGAUUCUGUUACAUACAUAUGAAUAUGUUAUUAUUUAUUUAUUUAUUUAUUGUCUUUUUGCCAUUUCUUGGGCCGCUCCUGCAGCAUAUGGAGGUUCCCAGGCCAGGGGUCGAAUUGGAGCUGUAGCCACUGGCCUAUGCCAGAGCCACAGCAACGCGGGAUCCGAGCCGCGUCUGCAGCCUACACCACAGCUCACGGCAACGCCGGACUGUUAACCCACUGAGCAAGGGCAGGGACCGAACCCUCAGCCUAAUGGUUCCUAGUCGGAUUCGUUAACCACUGCGCCAGGACGGGAACUCCUACUUUUUAGAUUAUUUUCAAUUACAGGAUAUCCAAUAUAGGAUACUGAAUAUAGUUCCCUGUCCUAUACAGUAGGUCCUUGUCAUUUAUCUGUUUUAUAUAUAGUAGUGUGUAUCUGUUAAUCCCAAACUCCUAAUUUAUCUAUCACUAUCCACCUUUGGUAACCAUAAGUUUUUUUUUUAUGCCUAUGGGUCUGUUUCUAUUUUGUAAAUAAGUUCAUUUGUAUCAUUUUUUUGGAUUCCACAUAUAAGUGAUAUCAUAUGAUAACAAUAUCUGACUUACUUCACUCAAUAUGAGAACCUCUAGGUCCAUCCAUGUUUCUGCAAGUGUCAUAUUUCAUUCUUUCUUUCUGGCUGAGUAAUAUUCCAUUGUAUAUAUGUACCACAUCUCCUUUAUCCAUUCAUAUGUCAAUGGACACAUAUGUUGCUUCCAUGUCUUGGCUACAAAAUAAUCAUUUUAAGUUAAAAACUGAGUCAAAUUAAAGAAAAGGUAAGUAAACUCUCUCUCCCAGAAAAAGAAAGUCACGGAGUGUGUGAUUUUUACACUGUAAAUUUUCUCAUCAUGCCUAUUUCCAAAAACCUACAUGAUGCCACUGAAGGCAGAGUUAGGAAAAGAUGUGCAGGAUACAAUCCAUGUGUCCAUACAAAUGACUCAAGCUCACCACUCGGUGGGGCUCAGAUAUAGCAAAUAUCUGGAAGGUGGUCCAACAAUGGCUGAAGUCUGAGAAAAGCUUUAUUAUGGUCACUUUUUAUAUAACUCUUAUUCUCCACAGCAAAAUGCAUGUGUCUUGAGAGUAAUGACUGCUUCUUGAUCAUCUCUGAAAACCGUGCAGUACCUGGAGGGGAGCUCACAGUGGGUACCUCUCACCAGGCUGAACUUUCUGGAAGAGGGACUGAGGUGAAUCACUUUUCUGUUCAGGAUGACAGUGACAUGGAGUGACCUGGAGCCCCUGGCUAUUGGUAACCUAGUUCUAGGCAGAGGUGUGGCCCCAGGGAGGACUGAGGGAGGAAAAGGAUGAUGCAUGGGGUCUGGCUCACCCAUGCCACCGAGACUCUACUCAAAUGUACUCUUCCCUCAAAGGGUGUAUGAUAAGGAGCACGAUGAGGAGAACAGAAUGGAAAAGGCGAGACUGAAGGCCUUGGAUUAGUUUUGUAAUAGAGUGCCACACACUGGGUGGCUUGGCCACAGAAGUUCACUGCCUUACUGUUCUGGAGACUAGAAGUCUGAAACCACAUGUCAGCAGGGUUGACAAAUCAAGGGGACAGCUGUGAGGGAAGGAUCUGUUCAAGGUCUCCAUCCUUGGCAUGUGGAGGGCCCCUUCUCCCUGUGUCCCUUCACAGUCUUCCCUUUAUAUGCGUCUGUAUGUGUCCAGAUUUUCUCUUUCUACAAGAAUAUCAGUCAUAGUGGGUGAGGAUCUACCCUUUGGCCUCAUGUUAAUUUGAUUACCUCUGCAAAGACCCUAUCUCAAAAUAAGUACAAUCUGAGGCACUAGGGAGUUAAGAUUCCAGUACAUCUUUUGGGUAAGACACAAUUCAAACCACACCAGGCCUGGAGAUCGAUUCUAAUAAUUCUCUGAUGGGAAGUGCUCCCAUAAGGGCUCUGUCAUAGG